AAUGAAUCCUCUUUCCACCGCGGAGAGACUCCUGAUUAAAAUGGAGGCGAUCUGACUGUCAGGAUGGAUGAGAGAUUGGAGAGCGGAGCGAAGCGAAGCGGCGUCGGCGUGAUUCACCGGCUCUGCGCAGAAAUAGUGUCUAUUUUUGGACUGGGAUCUGCGCAGAGUGUGUUUGUGCUCAAUUACCCCUCUGGUUUGCUGCUCUCUGAUUUCCUGGUGUCUUCUUCAAGCACUGACCUGCAAGAGAUCAUCAAGACAAUGAAAUCACUCUUCUGUCUGGAAAUACACAAUUGUCAAACAUUUCACAAUUGAAGACCUCUCUGCUGGAAAGACUGUUUUUAAAUGUGAUGUAGCAGGUGCUGGACGUUGGCGACAGGCUUAUCAUUCCCAAUGAGUACACAGAGGAGAAGACGACCUCAGGGAUUUGGUGGAAGCAGCUGGUUGCCAGAGCAACGGCAGGACCGAUAUCCAGGACAGGAACCUUUUGGGCUGAAUGAAAGUUUUUUCUUAUGCAUGUGCGAACAUCAUUAGCAUUUCUCAAUAUUUAGACUGACUUUAUCUUUUUUUAAAGCAAAUCUAGUCUGUUUUCAGUGUUAAAGUGAUACUAAGAAUAUAAUAUUCUAUUCCAGAUAUUACUCACUUGAGAGUUUCAUGAAUUGAAAUGCGUUGCUCUGUGAGUAAUUUGUUGUUGUUUUGAGUGGGUUUCAGGUCGAUUCUUUCUGAUCAAACCAAAGAAACAGAUGCCACUGUGGAAGAGAAACAAAUGUAAUGAUGUUAAAAUUUGCAGCAGAAUCCACCAUGACAGGCAGGAUCCAGAAUAUAUAUUUGAACAUAAAUGGCUCAGUCUCAGUCUGAUAUAAAAGGAUUUCUAGUCAAGAAUAACCAUAGACAAUUGGAUAUUAUGCACUAUAUGCAUGUGGAAAAAAAUGCAUUUGCUGGCUUGGAAACGUCACUCUUGAAGACCUACCAUUAAAGUUGAACUACGUUCAUUACCUCACCAUGGCAACAGGGCAGAAAAAUAUUGUUUCUUAAUAAAAAUUAGCACUAAAAAAAGAUUGCAUCAUCAUCAUAAGCUCUUGAAUAUAAAAGGAUGUCCAACUUUAUCCACAUACAGUGUAUUAGGGUGAUAUAUAUAGCAAAUCUUAACUGCUUGAUUGCUUGAAGCUCUCUAACCUCGCAAACACGUCAUCUAGGACCAGCAAAACCAGGGAAAAGGAGGCACAAAGGCCUUUUAUGCAUGCUACAUCUCCAUAUCCUGGGCAUUACUCCAUAUACAUCCAUCGAUCUUGCCGUUUUAUGAGGUACAAGCACAAAAACGAUUACUCAAGAAGCCAAGCUAGCAGUAUUUUAUAGCAUCAUACCUAUAAAUAAAUAUCUUGUAAUGGAAUUGGCUUACCAUUUUAUAUUUGGAUUGUUUCAUUUGUAAUCGACUCCAUUGGACUGUACUUCCACAUCUCUGUCGGUUGCCUUAUAUAUGAGGCUGUGUUUCAGAUAUUAACAGUGACGGCCACUUGAAGAGAAGCUCUCAAUAAGGAUGAUUGAUUUAUAGGUAGCACCAGUGUUUAUCAUUGUCAUAAACCGUGGUGCUCCUCAACCAUCACAAAUGUUCCAUUAAAAACUACUCAAGUCUCAUCAAAUGCUCUCCGUGGGAUUGCAAAUACUGCAAUGAGCCUAUAAUUCGCUGUCUGGUUUUAAUUAACAUUAAUGAUAAAAUAUGUCACUUGCAUACUGUGCAGCAUAUACUAUAAACACCCUACUAUUAAAAAGAAAAAAAAAAAAAUCAUGUUAAAAUCUCUGAAUCUUUGGAAGUCAAGAAUGAGUGCACCAUAUCUUAUGUUCACCGAGGCUGCAUUAUUUUUAAUCAAAAAUAUAGUAAAAAACGGUGAUACUGUGAAAUAUUAGCAUAUUAUAAUAGCUCUUUUACAGUUUAAUAUUUUAAAAUGUCAUUCAUUUCUGUAAUCAGAAAUCAUUGCAACAUGCUGAUUUGCUGCUCAACAAACAUUUCUUAUUAUCAAUGUUGAAAACAAUUUUGCUGCUCAAUGUUUCUGUGGAAACGGAUACAUAUACAUUUGCUCAGGAUUCUUUGAUGAAUAUUUCAAAAGAACAGCAUUUAUCUAAAAUAACAUUUGAAAUUAACUUUUGAUCAAUUUAAUGAGUUAAUAAAUUUGGUCAAAAAUGGAAGAAUAUAUAUCGCUCUGAUUGUAUACUACAAAUCUACUAGAUUGUCUGGGUAAUUUAUUAAAUAUGGGAAUACAAUUCAAUUCACAUGAUAUUUUCAUACGGCAACUGAAACUGCAAUUUUUGCCUAAUUUGUAAGCUUAAUCAUAUAGGCUAGAAAAUUUGCUAAAUAUAAAAUAAAUAGUUAAAAAAAGAAAAAAGAAGAAGUCAUUCUGAGGUGUCAAUCUUGUCUGCAUCGCAAAGAGCGAUGGAAAACGUGCUAAAGGUAAAUACUUAAGGUCUUUGCACACUGUAUUCACCAUCCUUUCCUAUCAAAAUGCUUGCUACGGGAAGCGAAAAUGCAGAAAAUCGAACCUGAUCCGAAAGUUUCGGAUGGGAAAGGAUGUUAGGAAUGUUUUCGGAUUAGGAAAGGAUGACGAAUACGAAAAAACACAUCUCAGCGUGCAAGGACCUUUAGGGCUUCAAAUUCGGAGUAUAGUGAUGAAAAUAGUAGGGGUAGUAUGGUAGUAUGCCAUUGUGAACAAUCCUUUAUUCCCUUAAUCAAAGUCAGCACUUCACCAGAGCCUUAAAAACCCACCUUUUGAUACGCUGAAACACAGUCCUAACCCCAGCAUCCUGUUCCUGCUGGCCCGCGGGACUUCCUCCAGCAGGCACAGGCACUUCGCCAGCUCUCCCAGGGCACUGCUGCGCACCCGUAUGCAGGCACAAACUAGCUCUGUGCUCCCUGAGAGAAUCCCUAUCAGACACAGAGAGACGCUCUUUAUGUCUUAAUGGAGGACAAAUCUGUUAGCGUACGGCCAGCGUGCGUGCGUGGGCUCUUCACUGCUGUCACCCGAGCACAAAUCAGAUGAAUGGAGACACUUUUAGAGAGGCGCUGAGCUGGCAGACGUUUCGUUUUUACCUCAAAGCAGCUUAAAGUUUUUGUUUUGCUGUGUGAUUUAUUGAUUGUAGAAGUGCAUUUAAAUGAACAGUGUAAAGAGGAUGAAGCAUUUCAUGUCAGUCAGGGUUUUUUUUUUGUUAAGUGAUUUAAGUAACUUGGAGGCCUACAAUAUUACUACAUUUAUACUACCUGAACCUUCAUUUAUUUGAUCUAAAAUACAUUAGAAACAGUAAUAUUAUGAGAUAUUACAACUUAAAAUAACUAUUUUCUAUUUGAAUAUAUUUUAAAUUUAUUCCUGUGACACAAAGCCAAAAAAUCAGCAUCAUUACUCCAGUCUUCAGAGUCACAUGACCCUUCAGAAAUCAUUCUAAUCUGCUGAUUUUCUUCUCAAACAUUUCUUCUUUUUUUAUUAUUAUUAUUUUAUUUAUCAAUGUUGAAAACAGUUGUGCUGCUUAAUAUUUGGGUGGAAAACAAAUUUUUUCAGGAUUCUUAAACAAAUAGAAAGCUCAAAAGAACAGUAUUAAUAUAAAAUAGUAAUCUUUUGUAAAAUUAUAAAUGUCUUUACUGUGACUUUUGAUCAAUUUAAUACAUUCUUGCUGAAUAAAUCCCCGAUCCAAAACUUGUAAAGCAAUACUCACCCUAAUGUCACUCCAAACCUCCAGUAUGAGCUUUUCUCUGUGAAACACAAAAGAAGUUUACAUAUAAAGAUGUACAGGGGUCAAAAACAGCUUCAGAAGUUCAACCAAUUGCAUUUAAUAUAAAUUUAAACUACAAUACAUUACAUUUAUUUGCAAAUAGCAUGCAAUUAAGUGUUUGAAAACAUUACUUAAGUACAUUAUUUCUGCAAUACCCCUUUUAAAAGUAUUCUUAAGUAUAUUUGUUUUUCACAAGGGUGGCCCUUUAAAAUACAGACCCAUAAUGCAUGUAAUAAUGUUAUGAAUUCUUAAACUAAUGGCUGUUUUGUAUUUUUCAGCAUCCCUGGAUGAAGCAGGCCAGCCAUCGCUGAGAGCUCUGGUGCAGACUGAACUCACUAAAGGAGGAUUCUUUGGACUUAACUGUGGCAUUUUGCCAAUCUUCAUGAAAGUUACUCCUGCUGUUAGCAGUUGUGGACAAAUACACAGACAGGACUAAGAAUUUCAAAAUAAGGGUCACUUACAGUCUCUGUCCUUUUCUCCUGAAAGUCCUAAAGCAACAAACAAAUGAAAUGGCACAAGUAUGUUACCAUACAAAAUUCCUGCUCUCACCACAGUAGUACAGCACUAAGUAGUCUCCAGUGUUUUUUGAGGAUCACAGUGGAGUUCAGGAGUUUGUUCCCCACAAAGUAGCAGUGAAUGUGAAGGUUAUUCAAAGUGACCUUGAAUUUUUAACCAUUAAAUGUUUGGAAUGGUGGAAUUCACCACUUUUAUUGCUUUAAGAUGAUUUUUCAUGUUCCUAAAACAAGGCCACCCGCUUACGGAACCCUCUUUCUAUGCACAUUAAAUCUGCUCCUUCUGUGGAUGCUUUUAAAUCAACUUUGAAGUCCUCCCUCUUCAGUGUGGCCUUUCAGACCGGCUAGAGUGUUUAGGUUUUACGUUGUUUUUUGUGACUGUUUGUUUUAUUCUUGUUUUAAUGUCUCCUGGAAAGCACGUUGGUCAACGGUAGUUGUUUUAAAUGUGCUAUAGAAAUAAAGUUUGUAUUGUAUUUAAGUGACAUUUCAUCCUCUUCUGGUCUUCAGAAUUAUGAUGUUUAUCGUACUGCACUAUUAAGACUUUGAAUGCAAAAUCUCAGUAAGUGAAUAGGAAAAAGGGAAUAGGUAACUGUAUACAUACAUACUCUACGUCAC